rnacentral:rRNA from 1 species
GGAUAACCGUGGUAAUUCUAGAGCUAAUACAUGCGGAAAGACCCUACUUUAUGGAAAGGUCGUAUUUAUUAGAUAAAGAACCAAUAUUUUUUUUUGGUGACUCAUAAUAACUUUACGGAUCACAAUAAUUAAUUUUGUGACAUAUCAUUCAAGUUUCUGACCUAUCAGCUUUAGACGGUAGGGGAUUGGCCUACCGUGGCUAUGACGGGUAACGGGGAAUUAGGGUUCGAUUCCGGAGAGGGAGCCUGAGAAACGGCUACCACAUCUAAGGAAGGCAGCAGGCGCGCAAAUUACCCAAUCCUAAUACAGGGAGGUAGUGACAAGAAAUAACAAUACAGGACUUUACGGUUUUGUAAUUGGAAUGAGUUAAGUAUAAACCCCUUUACAAGUAUCAAUUGGAGGGCAAGUCUGGUGCCAGCAGCCGCGGUAAUUCCAGCUCCAAUAGCGUAUAUUAAAGUUGUUGCAGUUAAAAAGCUCGUAGUUGGAUUUCUGUUAAUACCUUAUAUAUAAUAUUUUUUUUUAAAUAUUAUUAUGUAAGAUUAACAUAAUUCAUAUUUUUUAAGACUGAAUUUUUAGUUUUGAUAAUAUGAAAUUUUACUUUGAGAAAAUUAGAGUGCUUAAAGCAGGCUUUUGCCUUGAAUACUCCAGCAUGGAAUAAUAAUAAAAGAUUUUUAUC